GACGAACGCUGGCGGCGUGCUUAACACAUGCAAGUCGAACGGAAAGGCCUCUUUCGGGGGGUACUCGAGUGGCGAACGGGUGAGUAACACGUGAGUAACCUGCCCUUGACUUUGGGAUAACUUCAGGAAACUGGGGCUAAUACCGGAUAGGAGCUCCUGCUGCAUGGUGGGGGUUGGAAAGUUUCGGCGGUUGGGGAUGGACUCGCGGCUUAUCAGCUUGUUGGUGGGGUAGUGGCUUACCAAGGCAUUGACGGGUAGCCGGCCUGAGAGGGUGACCGGCCACAGUGGGACUGAGAUACGGCCCAGACUCCUACGGGAGGCAGCAGUGGGGAAUAUUGCACAAUGGGUGGAAGCCUGAUGCAGCAACGCCGUGUGCGGGAUGACGGCCUUCGGGUUGUAAACCGCUUUCGCUCAUGACGAAGCUUUGUGUGACGGUAGUGGGUAAAGAAGCACCGGCUAACUACGUG
rnacentral:rRNA from 1 species